GAUGAACGCUGGCAGCGUGCCUAAUACAUGCAAGUCGAGCGAAUGGAUUAAGAGCUUGCUCUUAUGAAGUUAGCGGCGGACGGCUGAGUAACACGUGGGUAACCUGCCCAUAAGACUGGGAUAACUCCGGGAAACCGGGGCUAAUACCGGAUAACAUUUUGAACCGCACGGUUCGAAAUUGAAAGGCGGCUUCGGGUGCCACUUAUGGAUGGAUCCGCGUCGCAUUAGCUAGUUGGGGAGGUAACGGCUCACCAAGGCAACGAUGCGUAGCCGACCUGAGAGGGUGAUCGGCCACACUGGGACUGAGACACGGCCCAGACUCCUACGGGAGGCAGCAGUAGGGAAUCUUCCGCAAUGGACGAAAGUCUGACGGAGCAACGCCGCGUGAGUGAUGAAGGCUUUCGGGUCGUAAAACUCUGUUGUUAGGGAAGAACAAGUGCUAGUUGAAUAAGCUGGCACCUUGACGGUACCUAACCAGAAAGCCACGGCUAACUACGUGCCAGCCGCCGCGGUAA
rnacentral:rRNA from 1 species